GACGAACGCUGGCGGCGUGCUUAACACAUGCAAGUCGUACGGUAAGGCCCUUUCGGGGGUACACGAGUGGCGAACGGGUGAGUAACGCGUGAGUAACCUGCCCACAACUUUGGGAUAACGCUAGGAAACUGGUGCUAAUACUGGAUAUGUGCCCCUGCUGCAUGGUGGGGGUUGGAAAGCUCCGGCGGUUGUGGAUGGACUCGCGGCCUAUCAGCUUGUUGGUGGGGUAGUGGCCUACCAAGGCGGCGACGGGUAGCCGGCCUGAGAGGGUGACCGGCCACAUUGGGACUGAGAUACGGCCCAGACUCCUACGGGAGGCAGCGGUGGGGAAUAUUGCACAAUGGGCGCAAGCCUGAUGCAGCAACGCCGCGUGCGGGAUGACGGCCUUCGGGUUGUAAACCGCUUUCAGCAGGGACGAAGCUUUUUGUGACGGUACCUGCAGAAGAAGCACCGGCUAACUACGUG
rnacentral:rRNA from 1 species